CAUGGCCUUUGUGACACGUUACAAUACACGUGAGCCUGGGUGUGGUGGUCUGGCAAUGGAAUAAGUAUUGCUACGAAUGCAGGGGAAGAACCUGGAGUCACACUCAGGAAAGGAACACACUGCCUAUUCAUUUAUUUAUGCAGUAACUAACCUGUGAUGAAGAGGGCACAACUACCAGCUUUUUCCUUGUAUGACAAUCACACUUCCCUGGAGCAGCAUAUUGUCACUGGAUAAGAAUCACUUGCUCAUACUGGAGAGGCAGCCCUGGCUAGCAGCAAGAAAGCCAAGAACUCCUGGGUUCUUGUCCCUGCUCCACCAGUGACUCGCUUAAACCUCUCUGUGCUUCAGUGUCCUUGUGUGCGACAUGGGGAUAAUAAUUAGCUACUUCACAGUCAAUUCCUCUGAGGAAGUAUGGUACUGAAAUGCACAAGAAUCUUGCUUUCUGCUGCUUUCCAGAUGUCCCCAGCUGACUCUAUCUUCUAAGACACUGUAGUUGUUAAACCCAACCUUAGUUAUUGUGAAAAACUGGGCCUAAGAUUAAUACGUGACAGUAUUUUAAGCUGCAUUUUGAACUCUCAUGCUUAGUAUAUAGGAAAAAUGUUACACAUCACGUAAGAAAAAGAAAACCAAAAACCUUUGUCAGAGGAAGACAUGUCAAUGCCCACAUCCUGAAGGAGCUGCUCCACUGCUUCUACCCAUGAGAGUAAUCUGCUUAGAAUUUCAACUACCGGUGUGUGGAUCCACAAGACAGAGGGGUCAAUGCACAGAUCUUGAAGGUUACAAAUCUCUCUUUUCAAGCUACUGCUACAAUAGGAGGUCUUUAAGAAAGCCUGAAAGAGAAUUAAUAACAAACAAUCCAAACCUCACGAUUAUGCGUCAUUUGUGUCUUAACACAACAGUUAAUACAAUAAACCCUUUACAACAAAAUACACUGUAUUAUCACUACAACAA